UUUGAGCUAGUGUCGUUAUCUUGUUACAUCAGUUAGCUCUGAAAGUUUUGACAGGGACCUAGAGAAUACAAGGAUACAAGAGAAGACCAGAAGCUCCCACUGAGGGCACCCAGCUGGAUUGGACAGUGGAGCAUGUGACUCUUGCUCUCAGUAUGAAGAGGAGACUUGGGAUUGGACUGCAAGGGAGGGUGUGUGGUCCCCAGCAAGAGCCGGCACAGUCAUGGAGAGCUGGCUUCCACCUGAGCAAGGCUACUUACCAGCUGGGGAACCCUAAGCCAUCAGUCACCGCCUCUGCAGAACUUGGAAUCAUUGCUGCUCUGUCCUCCUUUAUGGGCGGUCGCAAGGAGUAAAGUAAGAUCAGGUGACUCCAUUUGGGGCCUGUUGUCUCUUUAAUAGUCUCAAAAAUGACCGGAUGAAUUGACCCCUCCCCACUGGGGAAAGAAGAAUUACCUCUGCCUUCAAGAUCCUUCUAGAUGGACUAAGAAUCAAAUUGACAUGAGACAGAUUAACAAGAAAAUUCUGCAUGUAUGGAGAAUCCAUACAGACAUGGAAAUUCCAAAGACACUCAGGCAAAUAUAUGUCAUUCUGAACUAAGGAGAAGGGGCAGGGGUCUGGGACUUCAAAGGGAAGGAAUGCAAUUCGAAGGACAAUGAAAAAGAGUAAAUGUCUGGUCAACAAGCAUCUGCCGGGCCACUCAGAAGCCAUGGGACUUAGGAGUUUGAUCCCACAGGCCUUGCUAUGUUCCUGCCUGUCUCUCUUACCUAGUUCAUGUGCUAGUGUAGUUAUCUGUGGUGACAGUUCUCUUCCUGGAGCAGGGCCUCUAUCUAAAUUCUUCAAAGUAAUUGUGGGGGAGCAAAAAGUUUCUUCCUGAGUCUUUUGAGUCUUGAUUGUGUUCAGUUCAGCAUAAUCUGCAUGCCAUAGUGGGCUAUCUUAAGGCAGCCUGCCCUUGGCCCCUACACCACCACCCCCCAAAAAACCCCACUAACUAGACACAGAUAUAAAUUUUUUUUUUGAUCGGCUGACUGACUGGGGCUUCCCCUGAAGAUAGAAGCAACUCCACCUGUAAGAUCACCCCACCUAUAAUUUGCGUACUCCUCCCUAUAAAAAGUCUUAGGGGAAACCUGCAGUGACAUUGAUCUUGACAUCUAGAAGGCUCUUUCUAUUGCAACAGUCUGACUAAAGUCAGUUUCCUUACCUUAUUUGUUCAGGUUUAUUUGCUUUUGACACCCUGGUUCCUAAAACUGUAUAGGAUCUUUGCACAGAGCACGAAUCCUAUUAAGCAUUUCAGACUGAGUCACAGUGUUGGACAGUGGUUGAGUGUUCUCCUAGCUUAGGGGCUGAUGGAGAAAGGGAAGCUCUAAGGAGGCAGGACGGGAGAGCAGGACAAAUCUAGAGAUAGUUUGAAGAGAAUAGUGGAAGGUGUGUCUUUGUGAUGGGCAGAAAAUUCUCUAAAAGUCAUUUCCAUUCACUCAAGACAAUUCCAUAAGCUAAGACAUGCCACCUCCAGCUAUCUCAUCAAAACCCAGCCCUGAUCACUGCACUGAUCUAUUCAAAAGACUGUGGCUGUUCUCCAUUGACUUUGGGGUCCAGACCAAACUCUGUAGUGUGGCACAGAAGAUGCUUCACAACGUGAUCCUAUCCAGUCUUUCCCGUAGCUUCUCCCCACCAAUCCUCAAGCCACACCCUCCCCCAAUACAGCAAUACAAAUGAAGCAUCCAGUUUUGGGCGAGCGUUCCUGGGGAGACCUGAGCUCCACGCCCCAUAUUAGGACUCUGGCACGACUCCAGGAGCGCCGUUUACUGAGGAAAACCAGUGGCCCUGGGAGAAACGGGAAAAAACCAAAGUGGGAGCUCCGGUUAAUCCCGGGAACCUGGCAUUAAGGCAGUCCCGCUGUGGACCGUGCAUGGUAUCUGCUGGCCAUUAAGGGAGAGAGACGAGGGCCAUAGAAGAGCAUCGUGCUUCCUGGGAUACCCGGCGCGGACCGAAAGACAGCCUCCGAUUUUCUGGUUCUAAUCUCUCCAUGGCUUUGAGCUAUUUUACAACCUUUUCAGUUAGGGUUAGAUGCUGUCUGGUCCCACCCAAAAUUCUUCCAAAUCUACCCAGAGACAAGUUGUCUCAUCAUCUUGAGAGAGUCACAGGAGAUGGAGGGUUGAUGUCACUAUGCCAGGACUAAAAAAAUGAAUUGUGAAACAUCAUGAAAGAAGACCUUCUUCACCCUGGGAGCAGCUCCAGCAGCUGGGAAGACACCAGCAUCAACAGGUGGAGGAUCUGUGCCCAGCCAACGUGAACCGGACUGCCCAAGUUCAAAUCUGGCUUCACCUCUUCCUAACUACAUGAUCCUGAGCAAGUCAUUUAGCUCUCUUUCCCUCAGUUCGCUCAUCUGUAAAAUGUACCUGCUUUGUGGAGUUGUUCUGAGGAUUAAAUGAGUUAAUAUAUGCAAUGCCCUAAGAAUAGUUCCUGGUGAAGAAAACAAAAAUGCUAACUCAGGGGUACCCGGCUCUUGGUAGAGGAUGCAACUCUUGGUCUUGGGGUCAUGAAUUCAAGCCCCAUGUGGGCCAUAGAGCCUACUUUAAAAAAAAAAAAAAAGGCAACACUAACUCAAAAACCUGGGUGGCUCGGUCAUUGGGCGUCUGCCUUCAGCUCGGGUCAUGGUCUCAGGGUCCUGGGAUCGAGCCCCGUGUUGGGCUCCCUGCUCGGCGGGGGGCCUGCUUCUCCCUCUCCCUCUGCCAUUCCCCGUGCUUCUGCUGUCCUGCUCUCUCUCUGUCAAAUAAAUAAAUAAAAUCUUUAAAAAAAAAAGAUAUCUGCACCCCCAUGUACACUGCAGUAUUAUUUACAAUAGCCAAGAUAUGGAAGCAACUUAAGUGUCCACUGAUGGAUGAAUGGAUAGAAAAGAUGUGAUAUAUAUAUGCGUGUGAUAUAUACACAGACUGGAG